ACAAAAUUUAAAAUGAACUAUCCCUUUCUUUCUUUCUCUCUCUAUCGUUCAAUUUCAAGCACGAAGAGAAGGCGAUCUGAGUGGAUGAGGUGAGAAGUUGGGAGCUGAUUCGCCGUCAAGCAUCUCGCAACAAAAUUUCUGACCAAACAUGAAAUUCGUGUUUUUCAAGAUCUAGUUCGUAUGCUGUUCAGGAAAUUCUGGUUCUCGUCAAUUACUCUAUAGGUUUAUAUAAGGCUUUCGGAUAAUUUUCACGGGAGUUAACUUCUAAGAGCUCCUUUAUAUACAUGAGACAGAGAGAGAUUUUAGAACAGGAAAGGUCGGUUGAGAACCCUAAACCGUGGAAUAUGGGUUAGCUUUUCCAAAUUUGGUGUUGGAUAAUCUUCACUUUGCAGAAAUGGGUUUUGUUAAAUGUCAGAUUGGUAAGCACAGAAGGUUUGUUUGAAAAAUUGUUUCUUAAAUGCGAGUUCUUUUAUGAAAUUUAGUAUGAAAUUUUCAAAUCUGUAAAAUGUUUUUUUCUUAGUUUAAUAGACAUGAGUUUUAUAUUAUCAACUAAUUGGAAAUCAUUAUUGGUUAUACAUGACUUUUUGAAUUCAUCUACACGUAUAUUACUUUUUGAAAUUUAAAGUUCAACGUUUGUUUUGUCAAAAUCUACACGUAUAUUACUUUUUUAAACUUAAAGGUCAACGUUUGUUUUGUCAAAAUCACAUUUCCCUUUUGCAAACGGGAAUUUCUGGGCUGUGCCAUCAUAAAUCCUAACAUGUUAGAUGUCUGAGUUUGUUCAUGCUAUAUUAGAUUGCUCUCGCUGUACUGGAUUGCAGGUAUUGUCUGCUUCUUCAGAUGACGAACAUUGAGUUUCUAUUGCCCCCUGUCUGUUAUUUAUAGAAAUUGUGGAUCUUUAUGAUUUCAAUGAGUGAAUUCAAAUAUUGGAUAUUGGCUGGUUGAUGUUUGACAUAUGGUUGUUUGUUGCGUGCUAUCUUCCGGUCCCUUAUCAAAAGGAGUAUCUGCUUAACAUGGUUUUAUGGUAUUGAUUGUUAGAUAAUAUUCACAUUGC